rnacentral:rRNA from 1 species
GACAGAGGAUGCAAGCGUUAUCCGGAAUGAUUGGGCGUAAAGCGUCUGUAGGUGGCUUUUUAAGUCCGCCGUCAAAUCCCAGGGCUCAACCCUGGACAGGCGGUGGAAACUACCAAGCUGGAGUUCGGUAGGGGAGUCUGGAAUUCCUGGUGUAGCGGUGGAAUGCGUAGAUACCAGGAGGAACACCAAUGGCGAAGGCAGAUCUCUGGGCCGUAACUGACGCUGAGGAGCGAAAGCAUGGGGAGCGAACAGG